CCUACGGGAGGCAGCAGUGAGGAAUUUUGGUCAAUGGACGAGAGUCUGAACCAGCCAAGUAGCGUGAAGGAUGACUGCCCUAUGGGUUGUAAACUUCUUUUAUAUGGGAAUAAAACAGGGUAUGCAUACCCUCUUUUAUGUACCAUAUGAAUAAGGAUCGGCUAACUCCGUGCCAGCAGCCGCGGUAAUACGGAGGAUCCGAGCGUUAUCCGGAUUUAUUGGGUUUAACGGGAGCGUAGGUGGAUGGUUAAGUCAGUUGUGAAAGUUUGCGGCUCAACCGUAAAAUUGCAGUUGAAACUGGCAGUCUUGAGUACAGUAGAGGUGGGCGGAAUUCGUGGUGUAGCGGUGAAAUGCUUAGAUAUCACGAAGAACUCCGAUUGCGAAGGCAGCUCACUGGACUGCAACUGACACUGAUGCUCGAAAGUGUGGGUAUCAAACAGGAUUAGAUACCCCGGUAGUC
rnacentral:rRNA from 1 species